UGGGGAAUAUUGCACAAUGGGCGCAAGCCUGAUGCAGCAACGCCGCGUGAACGAUGAAGGUCUUCGGAUCGUAAAGUUCUGUUGCAGGGGAAGAUAAUGACGGUACCCUGUGAGGAAGCCCCGGCUAACUACGUGCCAGCAGCCGCGGUAAUACGUAGGGGGCUAGCGUUAUCCGGAUUUACUGGGCGUAAAGGGUGCGUAGGUGGUCUUUCAAGUCGGUGGUUAAAGGCUACGGCUCAACCGUAGUUAGCCUCCGAAACUGGAAGACUUGAGUGCAGGAGAGGAAAGUGGAAUUCCCAGUGUAGCGGUGAACUGCGUAGAUAUUGGGAGGAACACCAGUAGCGAAGGCGGCUUUCUGGACUGCAACUGACACUGAGGCACGAAAGCGUGGGUAGCAAACAGG
rnacentral:rRNA from 1 species